GACGAACGCUGGCGGCGUGCUUAACACAUGCAAGUCGAACGGAAAGGCCCUGCUUUUGUGGGGUGCUCGAGUGGCGAACGGGUGAGUAACACGUGAGUAACCUGCCCUUGACUUUGGGAUAACUUCAGGGAACUGGGGCUAAUACCGGAUAGGAGCUCCUGCUGCAUGGUGGUGGUUGGAAAGUUUCGGCGGUUGGGGAUGGACUCGCGGCUUAUCAGCUUGUUGGUGGGGUAGUGGCUUACCAAGGCUUUGACGGGUAGCCGGCCUGAGAGGGUGACCGGCCACAUUGGGACUGAGAUACGGCCCAGACUCCUACGGGAGGCAGCAGUGGGGAAUAUUGCACAAUGGGCGGAAGCCUGAUGCAGCAACGCCGCGUGCGGGAUGACGGCCUUCGGGUUGUAAACCGCUUUCGCCUGUGACGAAGCGUGAGUGACGGUAAUGGGUAAAGAAGCACCGGCUAACUACGUG
rnacentral:rRNA from 1 species